AAAACUUGAACUUCUGGCCUUGUUGGAUAUACAAAAUGGAUGUUUCUGAAUUCAAUGUUGCCUUCAAAAUUGCUCUGAAAACACUGUAACAGGCUUCCCAGAGAGGUUGUGGAGUCUUUUUCUCUGGAGUCAUUCAAAACCCACAUGGACACAGCUGUGCAACCUGCUCCAGGUGAGCCUGCUUUAGCAGGGGCUUGGACUAGAUGAUGUCCAGAGGUCCCUUCCAACUCCAACCAUUCUGUGAUAUAUACUGGACUGACUGUACUAUCAUUAUUUAUGGGAUGAUCUGCAGAUGUAAGUUACUACAUUCUUCUGGAGAAACAGUUUUCUGCAUCUGUUGUAUCUGUUUUUCACAUCACGUUUGAAAAGCAUAUCCUUACACAAACAAACCAAUGUUAACAUUUUUCAUUUCUGACCCAUGUAAUUGAGGCACUUAUACCCGAUAUCAUCUAUAGUAGGGGUCCUCAAACUUUUUAACCAGGGGGCCGGCGCGCGGAUGCAGUGGCAGGCAGUCAUCUGUGGCUGCUUGGUUUGCCCCCGAACACCCGGCAGGUUCUGUAAAUACCAGGGGCCGGACUGAGGACCCUGGGGGGACGUAUCCAGCCCACGGGCCGUAGUUUGAGGACCCCUGAUCUAUAGCAUUUGCUUUCCUGAUCUCACACUGCAGGUAGCACAGUUUGAAAGAAUGUAACACAAGGUCAAGAUUAAGAUAGCAGAGCUACAUUCUUCGGUAGGUAAUACACAGGCAUGUAGGACAAGCUGUGUUUUAAAUAAACAACAUUAAUUAUUAAUUAGCCAUUCUAGCCAGGCCAAUUACUAACAACACGUAGAAGGAAGGAGGCUAUUGCCUCUCCUAUUGUUCGGGGUAGGAGCCAGCCCUACGUACAUACUAGCAGCAUUGCUAGUACAGUGCUCUCACAGCAGCUGAUUAUCUAAUUUAAUGGACUCAAAGCUUUGUUUUGCUGAAGUCACAGGCAUCACAGGUAUUCGAGUCCAGUCUAUAUGAGAUAUAUUUUAAUUUAAGUUUUAUUUUACCAGAGACCUUCUGCCAAAUCGUUCAACAUCUGUGCCAGAGGAGCCUGGUUCAAGAAGAAAUGUAAGUGUGCUCGUAACUUUAAAGGCUGUAAAUCCUUUAUGGAAUUUUAUGUAUAAGCUUAAAGUUAUAGAAAUUUGAUUAUACCUUCCUGAGUAGGGGCUACCAUCUAAAACCUACACAGCAAGUUCAUUUUAAACUUAGAUGAAUUUGCAAAUGUAAUCCUUCCAGAUCACGUAAACUGAAAAUAUUUCAUGCAGGAGUAUGACAAGUGCUAAGGUCAGUUUCCUUAAUGACAAUUUUGGUUUAGAGGUAAGUUUGCAGGGAUUUUUGGAGUAUGGUUUUGGUUAUUUUCUUGUUGUUUUUUCCCUUGUUGUUCCUCUCCUCCACUUUAGAGCAAACUGGAUUUAUUUAUUGUUAGCUUUGACUUCACAAGAGCACAUUUUUACUUGUAAGGGUUUCUUUUUACAGUUGUAAGAGGACAGCUCUUGGCAGAACUGUUCUGUUUCUGAGGGAACUAGUCUCUCUUAUCUAUAAAAAAGAGUAGAAAAAUGCAUUUAUGUUUUAUUUCUCCUUUAAACCCUUACAAAGGCAACAGAACUGUUAGUGGAACUGACAUUGUCAGUGUUUUCCUGAAACCAUUUAAGAUGUGGGUCAGUAGAAUGAAAAGUGUUUUUUUUAAGCCCAUUCAGAGCAAAACUACACUUCUGACUGAAGAACAAAAAUAAUAUGGUCUGUUAAAGGACAAUAAAUAGAGUUGGUACCACUAUUUUGUAACACAUCAAUCUCUUGUGACACCCUAAAAACCCCUAUAAAGCUAUUACAGUUGCAGACAAUAAAAUAUUACUGGUUUA